CCUACGGGAGGCUGCAGUGAGGAAUAUUGGUCAAUGGACGAGAGUCUGAACCAGCCAAGUAGCGUGAAGGAUGACUGCCCUAUGGGUUGUAAACUUCUUUUAUAAAGGAAUAAAAUGAGGCACGUGUGCCUUUUUGCAUGUACUUUAUGAAUAAGGAUCGGCUAACUCCGUGCCAGCAGCCGCGGUAAUACGGAGGAUCCGAGCGUUAUCCGGAUUUAUUGGGUUUAAAGGGAGCGUAGAUGGGUUGUUAAGUCAGUUGUGAAAGUUUGCGGCUCAACCGUAAAAUUGCAAUUGAUACUGGAAGUCUUGAGUACAGUUGAGGUAGGCGGAAUUCGUGGUGUAGCGGUGAAAUGCUUAGAUAUCACGAAGAACCCCGAUUGCGAAGGCAGCUUACUAAGCUGUGACUGACAUUGAUGCUCGAAAGUGUGGGUAUCAAACAGGAUUAGAUACCCGUGUAGUC
rnacentral:rRNA from 1 species